AUACGGAAGGUGCGAGCGUUAUCCGGAAUCACUGGGUUUAAAGGGUGCGUAGGCGGCAUGAUAAGUCAGAGGUGAAAGCCCUCAGCUUAACUGAGGAAUUGCCUUUGAUACUGUUGUGCUUGAAAGGGGAUGAGGUGAGCGGAAUGUGGCAUGUAACGGUGAAAUGUGUAGAUAUGCCAUAGAACACCGAUUGCGAAGGCAGCUAACUGGGCCUACUUUGACGCUGAGGCACGAAAGCGUGGGGAGCGAACAGGAGUAGAAACCCUAGUAGUCC
rnacentral:rRNA from 1 species